rnacentral:rRNA from 1 species
GACGAACGCUGGCGGCGUGCUUAACACAUGCAAGUCGAGCGGUAAGGCCCUUUCGGGGGUACACGAGCGGCGAACGGGUGAGUAACACGUGGGUGACCUGCCCUCAGCUCUGGGAUAAGCCUGGGAAACCGGGUCUAAUACUGGAUAUGACUCCAUGACGCAUGUUGUGGGGUGGAAAGCCUUGUGCGGCUGAGGAUGGGCCCGCGGCCUAUCAGCUUGUUGGUGGGGUGANGGCCUACCAAGGCGACGACGGGU